UACAGAGGGGGCAAGCGUUGUUCGGAAUUACUAGGCGUAAAGGGCAGGUAGGCGGUUUGAUGAGUCUGUUGUGAAAGCUCCCGGCUUAACUGGGAGAGGUCAACAGAUACUGUCGAACUUGAGUAUGGGAGAGGGUACUGGAAUUCCUGGUGUAGCGGUGAAAUGCGCAGAGAUCAGGAGGAACACCGAUGGCGAAAGCAGGUACCUGGACCAUUACUGACGCUCAGCUGCGAAAGCUAGGGGAGCAAACAGG
rnacentral:rRNA from 1 species